UUCGAAUCCUCUCUUUCAUAUUCUUCUCUGCGCCGCCUUCAUGAUUCUGCUUUGUCUUCUUUAGAUUAUCAACAUUCAACCAUGGUGGCGUACCACUACACAUCUUCAACAGCUUCAGUAGUUGUGGAGCCAAAUGUGUUGCUCUCGAUCUUCCUCUUUAUGAAAAUGGAGUAUGUGGUUUGGAUGUAUAGUCCUCGAGUUUGGCGAUUUUCUCUUUUGUAAGAUCAUAAGUUAGAACAGGAGGGACGAAUACCCAUUAAAUUUUUGCAGAACCAGUUGAUCACGCUGAGGUUCUAUUGGUCUUAUGAUUUUCUUUGAUUUUUGAAAGCCAGGUAUUCUUAACAAAUUACAUCUCCGAUUUCUUUUAAUGUGUAAGAUUACUAUGAAAUCAUUAAAUAACCUAUGGAUUUAUGUACAAUGAGGUUAAGUUUCACGAGGGAAUGUAUAAAAACCUCCAAAAAUUAGAGAUCUGCGUUUAUUUUCUUAUUUAGAAAAUUUGUUUCUUUUCCCUUCAUGUCGAAGUGGGCUUUGAUGAGGACGC